rnacentral:rRNA from 1 species
CCUACGGGAGGCAGCAGUGGGGAAUAUUGGACAAUGGGGGGAACCCUGAUCCAGCCAUGCCGCGUGUGUGAAGAAGGCCCUCGGGUUGUAAAGCACUUUCAGUGAGGAAGAACGCCUGGUGGUUAAUACCCAUCAGGAAAGACAUCACUCACAGAAGAAGCACCGGCUAACUCCGUGCCAGCAGCCGCGGUAAUACGGAGGGUGCGAGCGUUAAUCGGAAUUACUGGGCGUAAAGCGCGCGUAGGUGGCUUGAUAAGCCGGUUGUGAAAGCCCCGGGCUCAACCUGGGAACGGCAUCCGGAACUGUCAAGCUAGAGUGCAGGAGAGGAAGGUAGAAUUCCCGGUGCAGCGGUGAAAUGCGUAGAGAUCGGGAGGAAUACCAGUGGCGAAGGCGGCCUUCUGGACUGACACUGACACUGAGGUGCGAAAGCGUGGGUAGCAAACAGGAUUAGAUACCCGAGUAGUC